rfam:Harpegnathos saltator strain R22 G/1 HarSal_1.0_3.contig3412, whole genome shotgun sequence.
CGGGAGAUAGAUACUUGAGUUUCAACAAGUUAAGAUUACUUAACAUAAUUCUUCCCAAAAGCAAAGAAAAAAUGCCUUUUGAUGACUGUAACUUGUGAAGUAUUAAUUUACAGACAGAUACGGGGCAUACAUUU